GCUGGGCAUGGUGGUGCACGCCUGUAAUCCCAGCUACUUGGGAGGCUGAGGCAGGAGGAUUGUUUGAACCCAGGAGACAGAGGUUGCAGUGAGCUGAGAUCAUGCCACUGCACUUCAGCCUGGGCAACAGAGUGAGACUCUGUCUCCA
rnacentral:SRP_RNA from 1 species